CGCAUUAUCCCGAGCGCUGAGUGCAGCGCUCUGCACAUAGUCAGCGCCCAACAAAUCCGCCUGAAUGAAAGACGAAGCCGCCCUCCCGCAUCCCUCCCACGGGCGCGGCUGCUCUUUUUGGAUGGCGCUUUCCCCGAGCGCUCAGUGCAGUGCUCCGCACACGGUAAGCGCUCCACACAUAGGACCGAAGGAAGGAAAGAAGGAAGGAAAGCGUGGUCCGGCUGCUCCCCCCUCCCUCCCCGGGGUGUGGGCGGGGGGGGGGGGGGAGAGAGGAUGGUGACGCGGUUGCCAUAGCUACGGCACCUGCGCCUGGCCGCCGCCGGGAGGGAGCGGCUCCACAGCGCCCCCCCGGCUCCUGGCGGACGCCGGGCGCGCUGCAGGGAGGCCCGAGCCCCGGCGGGCGGCGCCUGCGCACUGGGCUCCGCUCGGUGCCCGCUGUCCGUCCGUCCGUCCGUCUGCCCGUCCUUGCCCCUGUCUGUCCGUGCCCGUGCCCGUGCCCGUGCCCGUGCCCCUGCCGGUGCCCCCGCCCGCGCCCUCCCCUAGCGGCGGCCGCUGGCUCUGCCCCCCGUCCGUCCGUCCCCGGCGUUGGGCGGGGCUCCGGGGGAGGGAGGGAGGGAGGAGGAGGAGGAGGAGGAGGAAGGAGGCGGGGGGCGGCCGUCCCUGGCCGGGCAAGGCGGAGCCUGAGUCCGCGGGCAGCCCGCCCCAGCCGGAUCGGGAUCAGCGGGAUCGAUCGGGAUCGGCGGGAUCGAUCGGGAUCUAGCGGGAUCAUCGGGCUCGGCGGCCGCCCCUGCCCGCUCGCUCGCUCGCUCGCUCGCUCGCAGCCGCCGGCCGGGGCCGUGGCCGUGGCCGUGGCCGUGGCGCUGAGCCGCUCCCCUCGGCUCGGGCUGGUCCCGCCGGCCCCGCUCCCCGGGACCGGCCGGCAGGAGCCCGGGAGCUCCGGAGGCAGCGGGAGGACGAGGACCAGGACCAGGACCAGGACCAGGACCAGGACCAGGACCAGGACGAGGAGCCCCGCCGGGAAGACCCCCGGGAGCAGCACAGGAGGCGGCGGCGAGGGCACGGAGCAUCUCAGCCUUCCUCCCGUAUCACGACCCACCCCGGGAGACAGGCGUGUGCAGCUGCUUUCAGUACCUCUGUCCUCACCGUCAACGUUUCGCCAUCUUUAA
rnacentral:lncRNA from 1 species